CUCGAGGACACGUGUUGGCAGAUCACUUUCUCCUUUCUUUCGUUCGUGCUCUCUCUCUCUCUCUCUCGCUCACAAUCUUCGACCAGAGAAAUCGAGGAAGAAGCGGCAGAGAUCGCAACCCGCCGCCGGAAGAAAGGUUCGUCGGUGAAGGAUGAUCCCAACCAGUCGUCUAAUCCUUCAUCUCUGCCUCCUCCUUCGCCGAUCAACGCAGGAGAAUCGGUCGUGGCGGGUACGACGGGGAAGGCGAAGAAGAAAGCCGGAGGAGCGAGGGAUUUGAGGAUUCUCGGCCCUGUCUUGUGGAGUGCACAAUCAUCAAACUCAGGUGUUGACGAAGCUGGAGCCAUGGCGUGACCUCAAAGACAAAGUGGUUCUUGUGACAGGAGCUUCCUCUGGUAUAGGAAAAGAGAUAUGUCUUGAUUUGGUCAAAGCUGGCUGUAAGAUUAUCGCAGCAGCACGUCGUGUCGACCGCCUCAACUCUCUCUGCUCCAACAUCAACAGCUUCGGUUCAACCGGAACCCAAGCCACAGCUCUCGAGCUAGACGUCGCAUCGGAUGUAGCCACCAUUCGAAAAGCGGUUAAGGAAGCUUGGGAAGUAUUUGGCCUAACUGCAAUCUGAUGUUGGCCUAAUCAUUACUUUAAUGUAGGUCUUGGUUCUCCCUCUGAGUAAGCCUGUCAUCCUCGAAACUUCAUUAGCCGUGGUAUGCUGAAUGCGCUCUACACGGGGCAGGUUGUUACAUUUUAUUCAAGCCGUCCUCCAUGUAGUUCAGUUCAUUGCAUGUACUCUUCACGUAUGGGCUUCUUUAAACAGUUUGUACCCCCUCCUAUCAGGAUCUAGAGGCUAGCAGAUAACAAUCACGAGGACACAACAUAUUUGAAUUCUCAGCAUGUAUGUCUCUAAGCAAUAAACAUGGCCUUCUUUGCAUAGUAGUAUGAUUAUAUUUUAUUCUUCACAGAGAUUCAAUUACAAUGAUUGUUCGCAGUUUAAUGUAUUUUCUUCUUUCCUUGCUAAUCUUGGAACUAUUAGUGAUUACGCAAAAAGUAUAUCAGGAACUUAGGAUCUUUGUUACCCUAA